UACGUAGGGUGCAGGCGUUAAUCGGAAUUACUGGGCGUAAAGCGUGCGCAGGCGGUCUGCUAAGAGAGGUGUGAAAUCUCCGGGCUUAACUCGGAACUGCCAAGUGAAACUGCUGGGCUAGAGUGCAGAAGGGGCAAUCGGAAUUCUUGGUGUAGCGGUGAAAUGCGUAGAUAUCAAGAGGAACACCUGAGGUGAAGACGGGUUGCUGGGCUGACACUGACGCUGAGGCGCGAAAGCCAGGAGAGCAAACGGG
rnacentral:rRNA from 1 species